CGCCCCUAGAAAAAUAAUAGGGGUACCGCCUGCCCAGUGAUGAGAAUUAAACGGCCGCAGUUAAUAGCUGUGCUAAGGUAGCGCAAUCAAUUGUCCCUUAAUAGAGGAAUGGUAUGAAUGGCUGAACGUGAGAUAAGCUGUCUCUAUCAUAAAAGCAUGAAAUUUUCUUUUAAGUGAAAAGACUUAAAUUUUUUUAAAAGACGAGAAGACCCUAUCGAACUUAAUAAUUUGUUAAAAUAAGCUCUAACAAAGAAAUUUUACUGGGGCAGUAAGAAGAAAAAAAUAAUUCUUCUUAAAAUUAAAAGAUCCCUUAAUAAGGAAAAAAAGAAAAAGUUACCGUAGGGAUAACAGCGUUAUCAUUUUUGAGAGAACUAAUCGAAAAAAUGGUUUGCGACCUCGAUGUUGGAUUUAAGUUUCUUCCUCGGCGCAGGAGCUAGGAAAGUAGGUCUGUUCGCCCUUUGAAACUUGACA
rnacentral:rRNA from 1 species